rnacentral:rRNA from 1 species
GUGGGGAAUAUUGGGCAAUGGGCGAAAGCCUGACCCAGCAACGCCGCGUGAAGGAAGAAGGUCUUCGGAUCGUAAACUUCUAUCCUUGGUGAAGAUAAUGACGGUAGCCGAGAAGGAAGCCCCGGCUAACUACGUGCCAGCAGCCGCGGUAAUACGUAGGGGGCAAGCGUUGUCCGGAAUGAUUGGGCGUAAAGGGCGCGUAGGCGGCCUGGUAAGUCUGGAGUGAAAGUCCUGCUUUUAAGGUGGGAAUUGCUUUGGAUACUGUCGGGCUUGAGUGCAGGAGAGGUAAGUGGAAUUCCCGGUGUAGCGGUGAAAUGCGUAGAGAUCGGGAGGAACACCAGUGGAGAAGGCGACUUACUGGACUGUAACUGACGCUGAGGCGCGAAAGUGUGGGGAGCAAACAGGAUUAGAUACCCUUGUAGUCC